rnacentral:lncRNA from 1 species
GGGGUCUGGCUCUCGAGAUUCGAAGAGCGGUGUCUUCAAUUUUUGAGAAAGUAAUCAUGUUGGGAGUCUGGCUCUCGAGAUUCGUAGAGCGGUGCCUCUUCGAUUUUGGAGCAAGCAAUCUUGUUGGGAGUGUUUUCUCGAAUGCGAGUAAAGGUUGGGCAUGUUUGCUAGUCUACCUUGCCACGAAGCACAGAGGUUGACACACAGGGACUUUCCAAUUAUCCAGCAGUGGUACUGUUCCUUUACCCUCUCUUCGAUUUUUGAGAAAGUAAUCAUGUUAGGAGUCUGGCUCUCGAGAUUCGGAGGGCGGUGCCUCUUCGAUUUUGGAGCAAGCAAUCUUGUUAGGGGUGUUUUCUCGAAUGUGAGUAAAGGUUGGGCAUGUUUGCUAGUCUACCUUGCCACGAAGCACAGAGGUUGACACACAGGGACUUUCCAAUUAUCCAGCAGUGGUACUGUUCCUUUACCCUCUCUUCGAUUUUUGAGAAAGUAAUCAUGUUGGGAGUCUGGCUCUCGAGAUUCGGAGGGCGAUACCUCUUCGAUUUUGGGGCAAGCAAUCUUGUUGGGAGUGUUUUCUCGAAUGUGAGUAAAGGUUGGGCAUGUUUGCUAGUCUACCUUGCCACGAAGCACAGAGGUUGACACACCGGGACUUUCCAAUUAUCCAGCAGUGGUACUGUUCCUUUACCCUUGUGGGUAAUAAUAUGGUAGCUAGGCCUUCAAAAUUUAUGUGUCUAAACUUUGUUAGUGUUGUUUCUUUGCUAUUCUUUUACCCUUCUUGGUCAGAGCGAUGUAGUGCAAGCUUCACGUGUCUCAACUUUGUCAGAGAACUUUGGCAAAGUUAUAUGUGGUACCUAUGAGCUACUGUUGCGUGUGGGAAGUGGGUGAUUGAACAGUACGAUUCAUGUGCUUUCUACUUCGCCAGAAAUCUUCGACAUAAUGCCCAUAAUUUCCGCAAAGCUGAGUGUGCGUGUGACAGGUGCUGAGAAGGCUGGAAAAGUAGUCUCAACUUUGUCAGAGAACUUUGGCAAAGUUAUAUGUGGUACCCAUGAGCUACUGUUGCGUGUGGGAAGUGGGUGAUUGAACAGUACGAUUCAUGUGCUUUCUACUUCGCCAGAAAUCUUCGACAGAAUGCCCAUAAUUUCCGCAAAGCUGAGUGUGCGUGUGACAGGUGCUGACAAGGCUGGAAAAGUAGGUGCCUCUUCGAUUUCUGAGAUCGGCCCUCGUGG